rnacentral:rRNA from 1 species
CCUACGGGAGGCAGCAGUGAGGAAUAUUGGUCAAUGGGCGCGAGCCUGAACCAGCCAAGUAGCGUGAAGGAUGACGGCCCUACGGGUUGUAAACUGCUUUUAUAAAGGAAUAAAUUGAGGCACGUGUACCGGUUUGUAUGUAUUUUAUGAAUAAGGAUCGGCUAACUCCGUGCCAGCAGCCGCGGUAAUACGGAGGAUCCGAGCGUUGUCCGGAUUUAUUGGGUUUAAAGGGAGCGUAGAUGGGUUGUUAAGUCAGUUGUGAAAUUUUGCGGCUCAACCGUAAAAUUGCCAUUGAUACUGUCAGCCUUGAGUACAGUUGAGGUAGGCGGAAUUCGUGGUGUAGCGGUGAAAUGCUUAGAUAUCAUGAAGAACUCCGAUUGCGAAGGCAGCCUACUAAACUGCCACUGACAUUGAUGCUCGAAAGUGUGGGUAUCAAACAGGAUUAGAUACCCUUGUAGUC